GAUGAACGCUGGCGGCGUGCCUAAUACAUGCAAGUCGAGCGAACAGACGAGGAGCUUUCUCCGCUGACGUUAGCGGCGGACGGGUGAGUAACACGUGGAUAACCUACCUAUAAGACUGGGAUAACUUCGGGAAACCGGAUCUAAUACCGGAUAAUAUAUUGAACCGCAGGGUUCAAUAGUGAAAGACGGUUUUGCUGUCACUAAUAGGUGGAUCCGCGCCGCAUUAGCUAGUUGGUAAGGUAACGGCUUACCAAGGCGACGAUGCGUAGCCGACCUGAGAGGGUGAUCGGCCACACUGGAACUGAGACACGGUCCAGACUCCUACGGGAGGCAGCAGUAGGGAAUCUUGCGCAAUGGGCGAAAGCCUGACGGAGCCACGCCGCGUGAGUGAUGAAGGUCUUCGGAUCGUAAAACUCUGUUAUUAGGGAAGAACAAAUGUGUAAGUAACUCUGCACGUCUUGACGGUACCUACUCAGAAAGCCCCGGCUAACUACGUG
rnacentral:rRNA from 1 species